CUUGAUCUUACGCCGUCAUCCUCACCGGGAGCAGCGCCGCCUCCGCUUCGUGCGGCCAUCCUUCAAGCUCAUCCCUUUCACCCUCUCCCUCAAGACCGCCAAGGUCAUCCUCGACCAGCACAAGCCAGAUGAAUCUCUCUCCUUUGAAGAUGGCUAUGAAGAAAAGAACUAAUCAGUUGUAGGAUGGUUACAUUACCACAUGGGAGAGAAUAUGUUUGUUGUUGUGAUGUGCGCAAGUCCAGCGUUAAUUUAUGAUUAGGGUAUACAUGCAUGAUCUAUUUAGAAAAAAUGGUUAUUAGCUUGGCCACCGAGGCCAUGCUGCUGUUGCGCUCUAUCUUCGUCCAUCCACUCGAGAAAGGGAUGGUGGCCGUCGUUAGGGAGUGGAAGGAUCCGGGAGGUGGGCUGUGGGUGCGGUGUGCAGGAGGCUGAUCUAUGCAUGGUGCUGCGGGACAGCACUGUCCCUCGCAGCCGACAUGCUCCUCGUUCUCCUCUGCUCCAUCUCCAGCCUCCUAUUCCGACGCCUGCACAUCUUGUGAGUGGCUGCCUCCCUUCUCCAGCCGUGCAUCCACUUUUCUUUAUAGACAUAUUCCUGCGGUUCCUUUUCAUGAUUAUGAUACUGGUGAUCUUCUGGUCUCUUGGUUUCCUUGUUGGUUGUAGUUACAUAGUGUGAAUUUAAUGAUAAACUUUCAUGAGCAAGAAUAUGUUCGAUGGAGAUUAUCUCAUUUAGUCCUGAUUGCACUUGAGUGUGAAAUUGAGCACUUACAUCAGUUAAGUUGUUUAGUAAGAAAUGUAGUUGAUUCCCUUGCAGCCAAAUACUUAUUCCAGUAAAUGAUGCCUGGAACUUUUUUGAGUCACUGCCACUGUUAAUGGUUUACUGAAAUAAUUCAUCCAUGUGUUCUUGGUUUAGAUUGUGCUAGGAAUUAUUCAGAAUUAUUUACUGUCAUACACAUGCGUUGAUAGCUGUCUUCGAGCAACUCAACCUACACACCAAAGUGAGCCCCUCAC